rnacentral:rRNA from 1 species
UGCCAGCAGCCGCGGUAAUACGGAGGGGGCUAGCGUUGUUCGGAAUUACUGGGCGUAAAGAGCACGUAGGCGGUUGGUAGAGUUAGGCGUGAAAGCCCUAGGCUUAACCUAGGAACUGCGUUUAAUACUGACCAACUAGAGGCCGGGAGAGGGUGGUGGAAUUCCCAGUGUAGAGGUGAAAUUCGUAGAUAUUGGGAGGAACACCAGUGGCGAAGGCGGCCACCUGGACCGGUUCUGACGCUGAGAUGCGAAAGCGUGGGGAGCAAACAGGAUUAGAUA